UUGCUCUUCCAAAGUUAGUGGCGGACGGGUGAGUAACACGUGGGCAACCUGCCUGUAAGUUGGGGAUAACUCCGGGAAACCGGGGCUAAUACCGAAUGAUAGAAUGUGGCGCAUGCCACGCUUUUGAAAGAUGGUUUCGGCUAUCGCUUACAGAUGGGCCCGCGGUGCAUUAGCUAGUUGGUAGGGUAAUGGCCUACCAAGGCAACGAUGCAUAGCCGACCUGAGAGGGUGAUCGGCCACACUGGGACUGAGACACGGCCCAGACUCCUACGGGAGGCAGCAGUAGGGAAUCUUCCGCAAUGGACGAAAGUCUGACGGAGCAACGCCGCGUGUAUGAAGAAGGUUUUCGGAUCGUAAAGUACUGUUGUUAGAGAAGAACAAGGAUAAGAGUAACUGCUUGUCCCUUGACGGUAUCUAACCAGAAAGCCACGGCUAACUACGUGCCAGCAGCCGCGGUAAUACGUAGGUGGCAAGCGUUGUCCGGAUUUAUUGGGCGUAAAGCGCGCGCAGGCGGUCUUUUAAGUCUGAUGUGAAAGCCCCCGGCUUAACCGGGGAGGGUCAUUGGAAACUGGAAGACUGGAGUGCAGAAGAGGAGAGUGGAAUUCCACGUGUAGCGGUGAAAUGCGUAGAUAUGUGGAGGAACACCAGUGGCGAAGGCGACUCUCUGGUCUGUAACUGACGCUGAGGCGCGAAAGCGUGGGGAGCAAACAGGAUU
rnacentral:rRNA from 1 species